UAUAAUUUUAUGCGUAAAAAAGUUGAAGCGGCGGCUAUCCCAAAGAGAUGGUGCUUAUGAGGAUUUUUUGACUCUACCACAAUCCUGUUAGAAAGGAGACGCCAUCGUGUCUGUCUCAGAUGCGUUGCAACUAAUGAUCAGUUUCGGCUAAUUUGUCGUUUUACUGA
rnacentral:sRNA from 1 species